ACGCUGUUGCUUUGGCUGCCAAUUAAAAGUCAUCUUAGGUAGUGUUUUCUUUAUCAGACUUCCUCCCAGUGUGCCAUGGCCCCGAUACGUUAUUGUGAGCAUUAUGACUAAUGGCUCUGUUGGCAUUUGGUGCCAGAUGAGGCAACUGAGGACCAGAGAGCUGAACAUUUAGAUUGUGUUUUAAGACAGAAUGAGAGAUGCUGGUUUUCCACGUCCUGAUGGGUCUAAGGCAAAUUUACAAAUAUGGAAGAAGCUUGUAAUUCCCAUUCCUAAUUGCUCAGUCAGAGCAGGAUCUUCAGACCACAAGGAAAUGUCCUCCGAAUGCCUUCUUGUCUGUCUUCCAACCCUUGUCUUCCUGCCGUGACCCACUCCUCCGCUUCACUCCCCCACACUCAGCCUAACCCUCAACUUCUCCUUUUGGGAAUACGGUGUUAUGGUCAUUUACAGGAUUUGCAGAACCCAUCAUAAAUCACUCAUGACUCCUCAUUGUUCAACUGUCUCGAGCCAGGGCUUGCUUGGGUCGGUUUUUGAAAAGGCUGCCAAAGCUUUUGCUGGCUGAAGUGUCUUACUCAUAAUCUCAUUCAUUCCCAGGAGAAGAAGAAAGAUAUGGUGCAAAAUGCAGGAAGAUUUGGGUUUGACCCACACCACGUGUGUGUCAGUGGACAAGUCACUCCACCUCUAUGGCCUCAGUUUUCUUAUCUGUAAAAUUGGAAGCGGAGCAAUCAAUGAAUCAAUCCCUCUGUUCCUGUCCACUUUCAGUAUGUGAUGACAUCUUAUUGCUAAAUAUCCCUGCAAGUGAAGAUGGGGUACGGACAACAAGCCUGCACCCCAUCUGUGGCUCAGGAAGUUAAUAAACAUCUUUAAAGACCUGCUCAGACCCCAGUCUUCCAACUCCAAACCAAUAUGCUUUCCACGACACUGCGUUUGCCUGUGUGGUCGCUACUCACAUGGAGUUUACAAUCCAGCAAGGAGCACGAGGACAAAUAACCAUGAUACAACCCCAGAAUCCCUUCAGCCAAUUAGAAAGCUUCUUGGUCUGUGGUUAUGCCAAGCACACAGCACUGAUCAGCCCUAAUUUACUGAUGAGAAAACUGAGGCUCAGAGAGAUUGGGUGAUUUUGAUAGAAUGAGAUCUAGAGCUGAAAGGGAUCUUAGAGGGCAUUAAAUCUAAGCCCCUCUUUUGACAGAUGUGGAAACUGAGGCUCAAACUUACCCCCCACCUGCCCUACAAAUAUAAAGUCCUGAUUUCCUGCAGUUGGGUCUCUUCCCUCCAGGGCCAGCGCUCUUCCCAUCACAUCACCCAAGGACAGAGCAUGACAGGAGUAGACAGUGUAUAAUCCCAAAGAUGGAGAGACCCUGCCCGCUUUCCAAAACAAAAUUAACAAACGUCCUCCCUCCCCUUUUUCAACACCAGCUCCCACUGGGAUGGGAAUCUAAGAAGCUGUCAGACCUCUGUUUAACAAUGGUUUCUUCCUGUCCUCUUAGCUGAGGCUGAUUGAUGGUGAUAACAUUCAGUCGGCUCUGCUGGUAGCUGGAGGAGACAAGGCGAAUGUCUCUCACCCUUAUCAUCCACAGAAUUGCAGCCAGAGGAGAAAGGGAAGGGGGGAAGGGAGAAGGGUCAGAGAAAGAGCAUUUCUUUACAACUUUGGACCAAGAAUCCUAUGAUGUUAUAGCUGGAAGGGGCCUCAGAGACAGAGUCCAACCUGGCUUCCCAUCUUAAAGUUAGGAAAAAGAGAAGGGAAGCAAAGACCCCUCUGUCUACCCCUACACAUACUAUGAGAAGGAAGGAAAUAAACAUCUGUUAAGGGUCUACUAUG